CGGGGUGUGGCUCAGCUUGGUUAGAGCGCCUGGUUCGGGACCAGGAGGUCGGCGGUUCAAAUCCGCCCACUCCGACCA
rnacentral:tRNA from 3 species